rnacentral:misc_RNA from 1 species
CUAAGGAUUUUAACGGAAUAUAAGACCUUGGGUCUUAUAAACAGAACUUCCCCGGUCUGGUUUAGUUUUGAUGGAUCUUUCCUUCUAAACAUAUGGAACACCUGCUAAAUGCGCCACUUCAUGUGGUUCCCCUUGUGUUAGCAUGGCCUAAGCUCUCUUCUUGACUUUUUUUAUC